rnacentral:rRNA from 1 species
CGGCGUCGAGCGGCGGACGGGUGAGUAAUGCCUAGGAAAUUGCCCUGAUGUGGGGGAUAACCAUUGGAAACGAUGGCUAAUACCGCAUAAUGCCUACGGGCCAAAGAGGGGGACCUUCGGGCCUCUCGCGUCAGGAUAUGCCUAGGUGGGAUUAGCUAGUUGGUGAGGUAAGGGCUCACCAAGGCGACGAUCCCUAGCUGGUCUGAGAGGAUGAUCAGCCACACUGGAACUGAGACACGGUCCAGACUCCUACGGGAGGCAGCAGUGGGGAAUAUUGCACAAUGGGCGCAAGCCUGAUGCAGCCAUGCCGCGUGUGUGAAGAAGGCCUUCGGGUUGUAAAGCACUUUCAGUCGUGAGGAAGGUAGUGUAGUUAAUAGCUGCAUUAUUUGACGUUAGCGACAGAAGAAGCACCGGCUAACUCCGUGCCAGCAGCCGCGGUAAUACGGAGGGUGCGAGCGUUAAUCGGAAUUACUGGGCGUAAAGCGCAUGCAGGUGGUUUGUUAAGUCAGAUGUGAAAGCCCGGGGCUCAACCUCGGAAUUGCAUUUGAAACUGGCAGACUAGAGUACUGUAGAGGGGGGUAGAAUUUCAGGUGUAGCGGUGAAAUGCGUAGAGAUCUGAAGGAAUACCGGUGGCGAAGGCGGCCCCCUGGACAGAUACUGACACUCAGAUGCGAAAGCGUGGGGAGCAAACAGGAUUAGAUACCCUGGUAGUCCACGCCGUAAACGAUGUCUACUUGGAGGUUGUGGCCUUGAGCCGUGGCUUUCGGAGCUAACGCGUUAAGUAGACCGCCUGGGGAGUACGGUCGCAAGAUUAAAACUCAAAUGAAUUGACGGGGGCCCGCACAAGCGGUGGAGCAUGUGGUUUAAUUCGAUGCAACGCGAAGAACCUUACCUACUCUUGACAUCCAGAGAACUUUCCAGAGAUGGAUUGGUGCCUUCGGGAACUCUGAGACAGGUGCUGCAUGGCUGUCGUCAGCUCGUGUUGUGAAAUGUUGGGUUAAGUCCCGCAACGAGCGCAACCCUUAUCCUUGUUUGCCAGCGAGUAAUGUCGGGAACUCCAG